UUGAAAAAAAAAAAAAAAAAAGAACACCAUACCCACCAAAGACAUUGAAAACACAAGCAAAAGCAGGCAGAAAGAGAGGAAAAUCAAGCACAGAAACCGGAGCACAGAAGGAAAAGUUUCAAUUAAGAUCACAAAGACCACAUAACAAAACAAAAAAAACCACAUCAAUAUCCAAAACUCACAAACAAAAACAUUCCAUCACCAAAUUAAGAACCUAAAGAAGCCCGAAAGAAAAGACUGACAAAUAAUAUCUCUGGCACCCAACACCAAAACACAAAUCCAUAAAAGAAGACAGACCACGAGACACGAAGAGAACAGAAUUUAGCAGCUACCCGUCGCAAUUCUUGAUUUAUCUCCUAAGCCCAAGUUUCUUGGUUAACUCAAAAUACAGAGUAUGCAUAUAAUAUAUACGCAUACAAGAACUGAACUACCAAUACAUAUAACAUAUACAGAAGAAAAACGAGUAUCUCCAGAAAUUUCUUAGCACUGUCUCUCAAAAAAGGAAACAAAAAUAUUUUAUGUAAUUAUAUUCGAUUAUUUCCCAAAAAAAUUUUGAAACAAACCCACCAAAACUAAAACUGAAGAUUCACAUUUCUAUAUAGAAACCGAACAACCCCGACACGAAACUCCAAAAACCUGCAACUUCAACGAGAAGGCAAAUACCCAUAUAACCCUCUCUCUCUCUCUCUCUCU
rnacentral:misc_RNA from 1 species